GACGAACGCUGGCGGCGUGCCUAAUACAUGCAAGUUGAGCGCUGAAGGUUGGUACUUGUACCAACUGGAUGAGCAGCGAACGGGUGAGUAACGCGUGGGGAAUCUGCCUUUGAGCGGGGGACAACAUUUGGAAACGAAUGCUAAUACCGCAUAAAAACUUUAAACACAAGUUUUAAGUUUGAAAGAUGCAAUUGCAUCACUCAAAGAUGAUCCCGCGUUGUAUUAGCUAGUUGGUGAGGUAAAGGCUCACCAAGGCGAUGAUACAUAGCCGACCUGAGAGGGUGAGCGGCCACAUUGGGACUGAGACACGGCCCAAACGCCUACGCGAGGCAGCAGUAGAGAAUUUGCGAAAAUGGACGAAAGUGUGAACGAGCAACGCCGCGUGGGUGAAGGAGGUUUUGAGAUCGUAGAACUCUGUUGGUAGAGAAGAACGUGGGAAGGAGUAGAAAGCUCAUCAAGUGAGGGUAACUACUCAGAAAGGGCCGGCUAACUACGUG
rnacentral:rRNA from 1 species